rnacentral:lncRNA from 13 species
AGGUUACUAAAAUUCACACUUUAAUCUUUCAGGGACUGCUAUUUUCCAGUCACACUCAGAUGCCUGAUUGUCAGCUUUAUAUCUCAGAAAGCAUUCCCCGCAAUUCAGGAUUAUUAUUCUCAUUUUAAGGAUGAGGAAACCAAGAGCCAGAGAGUUUAAAUGUCUUACCAAUCCUGUCAGACAUUUGCUUCUAGCCAUAACUGAGUGGCUAUAUUGGUCUAAUCUUCCCACUGAAAAUAAUUAUAAAGGCCUGAGAAGAUAAAUAAAGCAAGUAUUUGAAGGUAUCUGGGAGUAACCAACACAGACAAGGACGUGGG